UUUAAACGUGUUAGUGUAUUAAUGUAACAUACUGUGGGUGCUGGUAGGUGAAGGAUUAGUGGUUCUUCACCACAGGACUUUUCUGUGAUGGAGCAUCAGUAAUGAUGCAGGUCAGGAGUACUGAGGGGACCAUGGUGAGAAUGAAAACAAAAGCCUCAAUCCUCAACCUCAGCCGUAUAAAUCUUUUGGAGAUUUUUCCCUCUACUCCACAGCAUGAUGGAAGCCUGCUGGAGAGUGACUGAGCUUCUUUCUCCAACACAUCCACUGCAUUGGGGAGCUCCAUGAGGAUUGUCAUCUGUUUGCCGUGUUGCAGUUUUGCAUUUUCCACAGAUGCUGGCAAAUCGGAUUAAUUUGUGGACAAUUUAGCCUGCGAGAUGGAAGAGAAUACAUUUCUCUGUUUUUGUGAGGAAGUCUGCCAAAAAACUACUGUCAUCUUCCUGGUAGCUCCCAGAGGUGAUGGUGCUGAAGAACUGACCUACGGAUAUGAUUCUCAGUGCAUGAUGGAAUUCCACUGGAGUUGGCUUCCAAACUCCCUUAUGACCAAUCUUCAUCCCAUAGAAUAGAUGGAUGAUAUCCUGUAGGAAGAUUAUGGCCUUUUCAUACUCCUCUAUCUUGACCCUGCUCAGUGCUGUAAUUGGAUGGCGAGAUGACAUAAGAUCAAACCAAUGAUCCACUUGCUCCAGGAACCACGCUGUAGUCAGGUAGGAGAGAGGGCGGUUUUCUUGCUGCACCAUAUACUUCAGUCCAGCACUUGUUGCCUUACUAAAUACAUUAAGAGCAGGACCAACCUUCAUUUUCUCAAAGUGGCUUGGCUCGAUGGCUGCAGCUGAUAGAUGGGGAGCUACUUUUAAUGCCAUUCCUUCUUGAAAGGACAAUAAGUCCUUAAUAGGGACCACUGAAACCUCAUUGGAAGGUAGGUUCUCUUUGUUAACCACAUUCUCUGGAAUUGUUAACACCUGUCCACGGACAAGGGUACUUUUUAGAUUUUUCACCAGAUGCGGGACAUCAGGC
rnacentral:lncRNA from 1 species